CACAGAGGUGCUAGAGAAACCAUGCAAGACUGUAGAGGAAUUCGAGGAGUUGUGUGUGAAACUAAAAGAUGCUGAAUUUCGAAAGAAGAUGAUUCGUUAUCUGUGUCUUCAGAGUGGAGGCAGCUUGAGAGAUGGAAUUAGGAGGAUGCUGAAAAAAAUUGGAGAUAAUUCCUAAUGGGGAUGUUAUUGUUACAAAGGGAGAAAGGGAAAACUUAAAUUUCAGCAGCUCUACAUCAAUGAUGUCAUCAUGCGUGCCUGCAUCAAGGCAUACCCACACCAGAAAUCCCAGAGUGUGGAAGAGAUGAUUGCUGUCACCCUAAAACAUGACCGGGAUCGUAAAAAACUGUUAAUCAGUGAGUUCAUUAUGAAAUUUAAUUCU